UGUCACCUAAUUAGUGAAUGGUAUGAAUGGUUAAACGAACCCUAAGCUGUCUCAAUAAGAAACCUUAUAAAAUUGAAAUUGUAGUGAAGAUGCUACAUAAAGAUUGCAAGACGAAAAGACCCUAUUGAGCUUUACUGAAUACUUACAACUUCUACAAAUAGUA
rnacentral:rRNA from 1 species